UAAUUAUAGUUCGUAGUGAUCUA
rnacentral:siRNA from 1 species